ensembl:lncRNA
ACUGCAACAUUGUCAAGCCUUUCUGACACUUCAUCAGAAAACACAAGCAUAGGAAAUUUGUGGUCAUAUUUCUCGGCCUCCCAGGUGCACUCUUUUAUGAACAGAUCAUCGUUAGGGGGUUUUCAGUUACAAUUGAAAAGAUGUCUAAUGUCCUAAAGAACUAUCAGAAGUGACAGAAAUGCAAAAGUGGAAAGAGAAAUGUGACCAGUCACCCAUAAGAGAAAGAAUGAGAUCAAUGGAUUCAAGGACAAGAUGAAGGGAUGUAUGACGCCAGGACAAAGACUGUGACUACUCUGGCACAGCAGUAGCAAACUUUGACAGUGAUCCAGGAAGUUGAACAAUUACUUAAGGUGAAGCAUAUCACUGGUGCAGCUAUCAACGGAGCCAUCCACAUUUUUUCAACAACAAAAAAUAUGAAGCCAUUUCCAGUCAGUUCCCUCCUGUCCUGCAUUUGUGGCCCAGUCUUUCCUCUGUUUAAGUCAAUCAGGACGUAUUCAUUGACUUAAACUGGAGCAGAUGAAGUUCUUCAACUUGCACAGGCUAAGAAGCCGGAGAGCUGAAUGUUUUCUACGAGCCAAGAGGAUUCAGUUGCAUCCCAUUUACAGGAUGAAUAGGAUUCAGUUUCAUCCGAAAGGAGCCUGGGUCAUCCAGACCGCACAGCAGUGAGAACAAAAGCACAGAAAAUGGGAACCAUUGGGAGACUGGCCUCUAAAGCACCUACAACCCUGACUACAUCUGUGAUGGCGACAAGCUCCCAGUGGGUCACAAUAAAUACCCAGUGGCAAUGGAGACAAGUGGGUGGAGUAUAAGAGUGCCUGGAGUUAACAUAAUGAAACUGAAUCCUUUUCUUGAACAAGAAGUGAAAUAAACUUUAAAUCAAAGUCUCCAUUAAGGCCCCUUCUGCAAGAUGCUACUUUCAGUUUCUGAUAAUCAUUAUAAAUGGAGCAGAUUGGAAAAACUCAAAUGGAUCCAAUAUGAAAAGCCUCGCUGCCUCCAGUCACUGCAGGGGGAGAGGAAUGCAGCCCCACUUACCUCCAAACUCAUUUUGGUCUUCCUACACCCCGACAGUAAAAUACAUGUGGAAAACCAGAAAUGCUGUGAGGUGAUGACAAUUACCUGAAGAUAUGAAGAUGAGCAGUGAACAGACCAGAGAAGAGAAGUCAGGUGUGGAUGGCCAGGCCACACCAUACUUCUGUACUCAUUAAGAAAAUAAAUAAACUCUUAGUUGGAUACAUUAAAAAAGAGUUGGUGGUUUCCAGCUGCAACUCACUUUAGUUCUUUAAAAUUAUCCUUGCGUUUCUGUUUAAGAAUUUACCUUGAGGAGGGAUGGGAAUCUGCUGCAUGCUACCAUCUGUCUUUCCUUAGAAAUACAGCACAAUAAAAGUGAGAUUGUCUUGUCUCUUUUAUAAGGUUAGUAAGAAAGCUUUGAUUGCUUCUUCUCUUAUUCACUAGAAAUUUAUAGUAAGAUGUUAUAUUUUCCUUUUGUCUGUUUGCCACAACAUCUGAGCUGUGUGUGAAAGACUGUGCCCUGUGGAUGAGAAGGUGCUUCACAGAGAGCAGCUUCAGUGAGCCAACUUAUUCACCAUGGUUCAAAGAUGGAAACUCCCCUCCAUUCUCAGAAUUUUGGUGCUUUUUGUUAUAUUCUGGGAUACUGUUGUGGUUAUAGCUUACUUCUGCCCCUUCUCCUGAAAUGCCCAAAUUUCUGUGAUGUGAGUUUUGUUCUACUUUUAGGAUGCCAAGUGGAAGAUUAUUCUAUUUCACUUUUGAGUCCUUUCCUGUUAUUACCUCAAACAUCGACAACAAAUUUUUCAGCCUUUCCCUUUUCUGAAGCAGUGGUGACAAAGUUCCUCUUUCUUUCCCCUUCUUCUUUUUCUUUUAAAACACAAAGAAACAAAACAUUCUCCAGAUGUUUUGUGAUCUAAUCCCUUAUUAACUUUGGAAAGAUCCUUUCUACCACAGGGAUCAGAUUCAUUAAUCUAUGGCUUCCUGACUCCUCUCCUACAGUAUUUCCAGGAAUGCAGAUACCUAUUUUGGCAUGGAAUCUGUAUUCCAUGAGCACAAACCUUCAAAUAUAUCUAUUUACCACACCUCUGACUGUAUCCGUUUCUCAAUCAGAUAAUUUAAUUUCCAGUCAAAGCAGCCACACAAAUUAGGCAGCCAUUUAAUCAGUGAUUAACCAAAUAAUCUCCUUUUACCAUAAAUUUGUAGUGUCUGGAGACCUUGUAGACUUCUUGGAAAAGGUGGCCUGUCUGCAUUACAAGUAAUUUUACAGUGGGUGUCAAGAACAGUGACGCAUUCUUUUCCCAUGUAGUUCAGUUCCACCACUGGGAAACUCAGCUCAGACUGAGAAAUAUCCAUAGGGUGAAGGUCUCUCUGGGAGCUCCAGCUGCACGUGAUGAGUUUGUGGAAUGGAGUUUGUGGAAUUUAGACUGUGCCUCUCAAUGGGCACAGGACUAAGAGUAAGUUAUCAUGGCCAUUUCCAAGAUGCCUGCCAGGAGGGAAAUUUCAAUCUUACAAAUCAAAACAACAACAACAGCAUUAAUAAUAAUAUUAAUAAAAGCAUUGAGAUUUUCAGUG